ACUCCUACGGGAGGCAGCAGUGGGGAAUAUUGCACAAUGGGGGAAACCCUGAUGCAGCCAUGCCGCGUGUGUGAAGAAGGCCUUCGGGUUGUAAAGCACUUUCAGCGAGGAGGAAGGGUGUGUGCUAAUACCAUACAUCUGUGACGUUACUCGCAGAAGAAGCACCGGCUAACUCCGUGCCAGCAGCCGCGGUAAUACGGAGGGUGCGAGCGUUAAUCGGAAUUACUGGGCGUAAAGCGUGCGCAGGCGGUUUGUUAAGCGAGAUGUGAAAGCCCCGGGCUCAACCUGGGAAUUGCAUUUCGAACUGGCAAGCUAGAGUCUUGUAGAGGGGGGUAGAAUUUCAGGUGUAGCGGUGAAAUGCGUAGAGAUCUGAAGGAAUACCGGUGGCGAAGGCGGCCCCCUGGACAAAGACUGACGCUCAUGCACGAAAGCGUGGGGAGCAAACAGGAUUAGAUACCCUGGUAGCGAGUA
rnacentral:rRNA from 1 species